GGCCCCUUCGUCUAGUGGUUAGGACACCAGAUUCUCACUCUGGAAACAGGGGUUCGAUUCCCCUAGGGGCUGCUA
rnacentral:tRNA from 1 species